CCCAUCCCAUCUAUCCAAGUGCACCUCCAUCGCUGCCGUAAGAUCUGGAGGGUUGCUCGCUCUGCCCUUCUCCGCACCACUGAAAACAACCGGUGCUUGGCAGAUUGGCACAGACUCAGGCUCCCCAUUACCUUCAAGAUCGUCGAUGACCACCCGGCAUACUCGGUUAGCCGGCUCCUGGACGUCCACCACCAGGUCAGGGGGUUGCUGUAUCUGGUGGACUGGGAAGGGUAUGGCCCUGAAGAGCGUUUGUGGAACCCAUGGUCUUUCAUUAUGAAUCCUCGGCUCAUCGGCCUGGUGGGUUCGCCCGGAGGCUCCCCUUGCGGGGGGUACUGUUAUGAGUCUGCAGUUCUCCUCUCCUACCCCAUGUGUUUCUGUUCUCCUCCCUCCUAGUGUCUCCUGUUAGUCUCCCUGUCUGUCUCUCUGUGUUGUCUGUGUGCCUGUUUGGGGCGUGGCUUCUCAGUCUGUGCCUGGCUCUCCACCUCCUCCUGCACACCUGAUCUACAUUCCACUAAUCAAGACUCUGCAGUAUAUCAACCCAGUUCUUCACCUCAAUCGUCGCCAGAUCGUCAGCUCACCUCAGUGGAUCACUGCCUGCCUGGAGGAUCUGCCAUCUGUCAAGCUCAGCUCACUGCCCGCCUGGAAAUUCACUCGCUGGUCUCCAUUCCCUGGUAUGCCCCCUGCUCAGCUCUCACGCCUUGUUUCAAUAAACUUUAAAUUCCUG